rnacentral:rRNA from 1 species
GGUUAACGCUGGCGGCGCGCCUGAUACAUGCAAGUCGAGCGAGGGCUCAUUUCUCGCAAGAGAGAUGGGUUCCUAGCGGCGAACGGGUGAGUAACACGUGGGCAACCUUUCCCAAAGUGGGGGAUAACAUCGAGAAAUCGGUGCUAAUACCGCAUGUGGUCAUCGAAGACAUCUUUGAUGAAAAAGCAGCAAUGCGCUUUGGGGUGGCCCGCGGCCUAUCAGCUUGCUGGUGGGUAACGGCCUACCAAGGCAUUGACGGUAGCUGGUCUGAGAGGACGACCAGCCACACGGGGACUGAGACACGGGCCCCGACUCCUACGGGAGGCAGCAGUAAGGAAUCUUCCGCAA